rnacentral:rRNA from 1 species
CGCGUAGGAAUCUACCUGGUAGUGGGGGACAACAUGUGGAAACGCAUGCUAAUACCGCAUACGCCCUACGGGGGAAAGCGGGGGAUCUUCGGACCUCGUGCUAUCAGAUGAGCCUGCGUAAGAUUAGCUAGUUGGUGGGGUAAAGGCCUACCAAGGCAACGAUCUUUAGCUGGUCUGAGAGGAUGAUCAGCCACACUGGGACUGAGACACGGCCCAGACUCCUACGGGAGGCAGCAGUGGGGAAUAUUGGACAAUGGGCGCAAGCCUGAUCCAGCUAUGCCGCGUGUGUGAAGAAGGCUC